rfam:Gossypium hirsutum cultivar TM-1 chromosome 8, whole genome shotgun sequence
GUUUCCUUGGUCUAGUGGUCAGGACAUUGCACUCUGAAUCCAGUAACCCGAGUUCAAAUCUCGGUGGAACCU